CCUACGGGACGCAGCAGUGGGGAAUAUUGCGCAAUGGACGAAAGUCUGACGCAGCGACGCCGCGUGAGGGAUGAAGGUCUUCGGAUCGUAAAGUUCUGUUGAAGGGGAAAAAGAGCGGAGAGAGGAAAUGAACUCCGAUUGAUAUUACCCUUCGAGGAAGUCACGGCUAACUACGUGCCAGCAGCCGCGGUAAUACGUAGGUGGCGAGCGUUAUCCGGAAUGAUUGGGCGUAAAGGGUGCGUAGGCGGCCUGCUAAGUCUGGAGUGAAAGGUACCGGCUCAACCGGUACAGGCUCUGGAAACUGG
rnacentral:rRNA from 1 species